CCGCCCCUAGCUCAGCUGGUUAGAGCAUCGAGCUUAUACCUCGAGGGUCCUAGGUUCGAAUCCUAGGGGGCGGACCA
rnacentral:tRNA from 1 species